CAGUUGCUGAUUCAUGCAGAUCCCACAGAGGUGCAAACCCGGCCUUGUGUGACCUCAAGUGCCAACUGUUACAGUGCUACACCACCGCAGAGCCAGGAGGGGUGUUACAAGCUGCUACAGCCUGCCCUGGAAACUGCGGGGUGCAACCUGGACAGGUCCUGUGGCUGAAGCGAGUGCGCCCACUGGCUGGUCGGCAGACAGCAAAGCGGUGGCAGCAGAGAGGCGAGAAUCUCUCAGUCACCUGCUCGGGCAUUUUUGUUAUUUUGUUUCAUCAUCCUCCUAUUGUCUUUUCUCUUUUGACAAACAUGGAGUUUUUUUUUGUUUGUUUUUUUGUUUUUUUUACAAUUAAGUGGAAUGUCUGCUGCUCUUUUUUGGACUGUUGUCCACCACUUCCAUAUCUGUGACCUAUUUUUAACAGUAAGUGAACAGUGGAAAUUUCAUUUUCAAGACAAGGAAAAGUUAUAUUCAAAACAGACAUAUUAAACACAAAAGUAAAAGUUGUAUUCUUAUUUAUUUAUUUAUUUAUUUGCAAAGCUGUGUAGAGUAUGGAUUUG